CAGGCUGGCACGUGUGAGGAUGUGGGCCCUGCAGAAUGUGCUUUAGGCAAGUGGACUGGAUUGCUUUGUGUUUCCCAGCUAAGAUUUCUCUGUGUGCCCCAUUCUGUUGUUUGUUCCACAGCUUUGCUUUGAAGUACAAACAUUGUUUAUACUUAAUCUGACCAAGAUCAUUGAAAAAUACAGAUUUGUAGGAGGCAAAAUACAUUGGUGUUUUUUGACAAGGGAAUGUCUUAAAAACAAGAUUGUAUUCUGUGCAAGUAUCAAACCGGAUCCCGCCACAAUCCAUGUAGUGGAAGUAAUGGGAAACACUCUGCUGUUGGGGAAGGAAAAGCAUUGUAUCUUUAAAUUUCUCCCCGCGCCCUAGGAAAAGCUGUCCUGUUAGGGCACAAGGAACAUGACUCGGUGCUGUUGGCAGAAGUGAGCGCCUUCUGACUUCCCGACUCCUGCUCACGUGUGCUCAGCGCUCGGCAGGGAUUGCGUGGCUGCCGAGCGCCCUUUCACAGCCUCCUCCAGGCAGCGUCAACCCUUGGGAUGCGCGCUUGUCUUCCUCACGCUCUCCUCUCGCUAAGCACAAGAGAAGCUGGAGCACCGUCUGACGACAGAGUCCCUCUACAGCUAAGCUGAUUUAGCACCACAUUGCAUCCUGCUUCACAAAGUAAAUCCUCAGGGGAGGCCUGGGCCGUGAGCUAAGCCUGCAGUUGCCCUGAAGGUCAGAGUUACGCACAUCAUAGCCACUCCCCGGACAGCGCUGGGACAUUACCAGAUCGGUUACCGUAUGAAUGGGACUGGCUUGGGCCAUCAGAGGUUUCCUGUGGCACCACGAACUUAGAAGAUAUCAUCUGGACCUUCCUGGAAUGGAAUGUCCCGAGGAAAGCUCACAAGACCUGCCAUCUGGAUAUGAUUAAAUCCACGGUACUCAGGAGCUGGCAUCACCUACUCCAUAUGAAUGCACCUUCUGCCGGGGCACUCUGACAUUUGUCUGGGUUUGGACUUCGUCUUUUUCUGUUUCUACACAUGUAUGGAUCCAACUUUACAUGCAAAGGGACAAAAGAAAUAUGUGCUCAUCUCUGCCUCAGGCAGAAUAAACUGUAUAUAAGCUGGCUGCUGAAAACACUCAGGGCGAACCUCUGGGGGAAAUGCUAUCUCUCUAUCAGACGGAACCCUAGGUCACCCAGCUUCUGUACCUGGGGCAGACGCUGUCUUGGCUGUGGCUGGGCUUUUUUUGUUUCCAAAUUUCUAUUUUUUGUUAUCAAUCUAAUAAAUCUUUGUUAAAUUUUUCAUAAA